rnacentral:misc_RNA from 1 species
GAUGAAGAACGUAGCGAAAUGCGAUAAGUAGUGUGAAUUGCAGAAUUCAGUGAAUCAUCGAAUCUUUGAACGCUCAUUGCGCCCCUUGGUAUCCCGAGGGGCAUGCCUGUUCGAGCGUCAUUUCACCACUCAAGCCUGGCUUGGUGUUGGGCGACGUCCUCUUUGGGGACGCGCCUCGAAACGCUCGGCGGCGUGGCACCGGCUUUAAGCGUAGCAGAAUCUUUCGCUUUGGAAGUCGGGGCCCCGUCUGCCGGAAGACCUGCUCGCAAGGUUGACCUCGGAUCAGGCAGGGAUACCCGCUGAACUUAAGCAUAUCAAUAAGCGGAGGA